GCCGGGCACGGUGGCUCAUGCCUGUAAUCCUAGCACUUUGGGAGGCUGAGAUGGGCGGAUCACUUGAGGUCAGGAGUUCAAAACCAGCCUGGCCAACAUGGUGAAACCCCAUCUCUA
ensembl:misc_RNA Metazoa_SRP Metazoan signal recognition particle RNA